rnacentral:rRNA from 1 species
GCUGACGAGCGGCGGACGGGUGAGUAAUGCUUGGGAACAUGCCUUGAGGUGGGGGACAACAGUUGGAAACGACUGCUAAUACCGCAUAAUGUCUACGGACCAAAGGGGGCUUCGGCUCUCGCCUUUAGAUUGGCCCAAGUGGGAUUAGCUAGUUGGUGAGGUAAUGGCUCACCAAGGCAACGAUCCCUAGCUGGUUUGAGAGGAUGAUCAGCCACACUGGAACUGAGACACGGUCCAGACUCCUACGGGAGGCAGCAGUGGGGAAUAUUGCACAAUGGGCGAAAGCCUGAUGCAGCCAUGCCGCGUGUGUGAAGAAGGCCUUCGGGUUGUAAAGCACUUUCAGUCAGGAGGAAAGGGUGUGAGUUAAUACCUCUUAUCUGUGACGUUACUGACAGAAGAAGCACCGGCUAACUCCGUGCCAGCAGCCGCGGUAAUACGGAGGGUGCGAGCGUUAAUCGGAAUUACUGGGCGUAAAGCGUACGCAGGCGGUUUGUUAAGCGAGAUGUGAAAGCCCCGGGCUCAACCUGGGAACUGCAUUUCGAACUGGCAAACUAGAGUGUGAUAGAGGGUGGUAGAAUUUCAGGUGUAGCGGCGAAAUGCGUAGAGAUCUGAAGGAAUACCGAUGGCGAAGGCAGCCACCUGGGUCAACACUGACGCUCAUGUACGAAAGCGUGGGGAGCAAACGGGAUUAGAUACCCUGGUAG